GAAGCGGAGCUGGGGAAGGACUUAACUGGGGCUUAACACCCAUGCUCCUUCCUAUGUGGGAAUUACGGGCUUCCCUUUCACCUCCCAGGGAGUAUAAAUCACAGGCUCCCAGCCGGGCUGCUGGAAAGAUGAAGCAGGCAGUCCUGGUAGUCAGGAGACGCAGGAAGCCUGCUAGCUGGGAGAUACAAGGAGGCCUGCUAGUUGUUACAGGGCACAUGCUCACGUCUAAAGGGCGAGAACCCUCAGCAGGGACACCACAUAUGGGCAAUCAGCACAGCACCUCAUCAGGCCACCUCCCAUUCCGAGGUCAUUCUAUCUACUGAAUACACACCGCCUGACCACAUCCGAGCUCUCUGACCCUGUCUGCCCAGUGGGUUCUGCUGCCCUCUAGGAACCAAGCUCCUUCAAAUUUGAAGGGAGUCUGGACUUCCUGGAGAAUCCUGCCUACAAGCUUGGGACUCAUCCACUCUAAUGAAGAAGGGACAACUGGAAUCAGAUGCCUCCACUCCUCCACUCUGAGCUGUGUCUGUGUCCAAGUUUCCAUUGGCAGCCUGUGCCACCCACCAUCCCCAGGCCUCCAUCAGUGACAGAGAGGUCAGAACCAGCCCCUACUGGCUCAAAGGAACAGCUAAAAGAAUCAGUAGUGCCCACUGAUACAUGUUCUCGGAUAUUUAAAGGACUGUCACAACACGGGGAUCAGGUCCAGUCGACUGUCAGGGCAGACAGUAGAUGAGUGGGAACUGCAGGAAAGCAGGUCUCUGUCCACUGUCAGGAAGAAAUUUCCAGUCACCAGGGCCAACCAAAAAUGCAAGUAACGUGAACUAAUGGGAUUGCUGGGCUGGGGAGACAAGAGAUCCCCAAAAUGUAAUGUUGCUUGAUGGCCCGUUCUCACUUAUUAACUUCCAACACCGUGAGGCCAGGACCGCUCAGAGAUUUUAGUCAAAAUCCUCUGAGAAAGCAACUUCUUAACUAAAAGAAAUUUCCUGAGUCCCACAGAAGCCAGGCACUGUGCUGGACACUGGAAGUCCAGGUAGUGAGACAGACACCCGACCGCUGCUCUGGGCUCAACAGAAAUCAUGGGACCGUGCUGAGGUCCCGAGACUGAGCAGGAGAGACACUGAAGGUCAGGGAGCAACUGUCUGGGGCAGGGGUGUUUGAACAGAGACCUACCUGAAGAAGGCAAAGCAUUAGCAAGCGGGGAAACCGUGGGUCGGACAAUCAGUGGGACCCAACUCAAAGCUGGAAAAGAUUGAUACCUCCUUCCGCCAUAUGCAAACGGGCCAGAGCCUCUCAAAUGGGAGAGACGGAAGGAUGGAGUCUUAACAGGGCACUCAAGUAGCCCCAGUGGUUGUUGCACUGUAUCACACGCAAGGUCCCGAGUUUGAUUCCCUCGCUGCAAGGAAGUCUUCGAGACCUCAAACAGGGAGGCCAAAAAAAUUCGGUAAUGAAAGGAAAGCAGGCAAACCGGAAUUCAACAAGAUCACAACCUUUUCUGCUUCGAUGAGUGUCAGCAGUAAAGAGAACCCACAGCACGGGAGAAAAUUAUAACUGCGAUGUGUCUGUCAAAGGACGUUUGUUUUUGUUUUUGUUUUUUGUUUUUUUUUUUAAGAUUUAUUUAUUU